GACAGAGGGUGCAAACGUUGUUCGGAAUUACUGGGCGUAAAGCGAGUGUAGGCGGUCUGAAAAGUCGGGUGUGAAAGCCCUGGGCUCAACCCAGGAAGUGCACUCGAAACUGCCAGGCUAGAGUAUCGGAGAGGUUGGUGGAAUUCUCGGUGUAGAGGUGAAAUUCGUAGAUAUCGAGAGGAACACCGGUGGCGAAGGCGGCCAACUGGACGAUUACUGACGCUGAGACUCGAAAGCGUGGGGAGCAAACAGG
rnacentral:rRNA from 1 species